UCUGCUCCCGGAUGUUAGCGGCGGACGGGUGAGUAACACGUGGGUAACCUGCCUGUAAGACUGGGAUAACUCCGGGAAACCGGAGCUAAUACCGGAUAGUUCCUUGAACCGCAUGGUUCAAGGAUGAAAGACGGUUUCGGCUGUCACUUACAGAUGGACCCGCGGCGCAUUAGCUAGUUGGUGAGGUAACGGCUCACCAAGGCGACGAUGCGUAGCCGACCUGAGAGGGUGAUCGGCCACACUGGGACUGAGACACGGCCCAGACUCCUACGGGAGGCAGCAGUAGGGAAUCUUCCGCAAUGGACGAAAGUCUGACGGAGCAACGCCGCGUGAGUGAUGAAGGUUUUCGGAUCGUAAAGCUCUGUUGUUAGGGAAGAACAAGUGCAAGAGUAACUGCUUGCACCUUGACGGUACCUAACCAGAAAGCCACGGCUAACUACGUGCCAGCAGCCGCGGUAAUACGUAGGUGGCAAGCGUUGUCCGGAAUUAUUGGGCGUAAAGGGCUCGCAGGCGGUUUCUUAAGUCUGAUGUGAAAGCCCCCGGCUCAACCGGGGAGGGUCAUUGGAAACUGGGAAACUUGAGUGCAGAAGAGGAGAGUGGAAUUCCACGUGUAGCGGUGAAAUGCGUAGAGAUGUGGAGGAACACCAGUGGCGAAGGCGACUCUCUGGUC
rnacentral:rRNA from 2 species